rnacentral:rRNA from 1 species
UGGGGAAUUUUGGACAAUGGGCGAAAGCCUGAUCCAGCAAUGCCGCGUGUGUGAAGAAGGCCUUCGGGUUGUAAAGCACUUUUGUCUGGAAAGAAAUCCUUGGCUCUAAUACAGUCGGGGGAUGACGGUACCGGAAGAAUAAGCACCGGCUAACUACGUGCCAGCAGCCGCGGUAAUACGUAGGGUGCAAGCGUUAAUCGGAAUUACUGGGCGUAAAGCGUGCGCAGGCGGUUUGCUAAGACCGAUGUGAAAUCCCCGGGCUCAACCUGGGAACUGCAUUGGUGACUGGCAGGCUAGAGUAUGGCAGAGGGGGGUAGAAUUCCACGUGUAGCAGUGAAAUGCGUAGAGAUGUGGAGGAAUACCGAUGGCGAAGGCAGCCCCCUGGGCCAAUACUGACGCUCAUGCACGAAAGCGUGGGGAGCAAAACAGGAUUAGAUACCCUGGUAGUCCACGCCCUAAACGAUGUCAACUAGUUGUUGGGGAUUCAUUUCCUUAGUAACGUAGCUAACGCGUGAAGUUGACCGCCUGGGGGAGUACGGUCGCAAGAUUAAAAGCUCAAAAUGAA